CAUCAUUCUUCUCGUUAUGUCCAAAAAAAGUGUCACCAGAACUUCCAACUUCUUCAAACUUUUUGAAUGAAGAACUCGAACAGGAAAUACAUUUCUAAAGGAGGAGUACAUUAUGUUACUGGAUGGAACUAGAAGAAAUACAUUUGUGGAGUGGAAUUGUUGAUUAAUGAUAUUAAUUGUUGGAUAAAAGUGAUUUUUACUUGAUUAAUUCAUAUAAAUGAAAGUUGGAGUAGGAAUAUUUUUAAGUGAAUAUUUUUAUCUUGAAAAGUGAUGUCUUCUUCAUUAGUUUUAAUAGUUUUCUCUCGUCAGUGGAGGAUAUAAAACUUCUAUAAGUUUCUUAAUUUAAUGAAAGUGCGGCUCUGAAAGAAAUCGAUCUUCUUCAUCUUCUACUUGAAGUGUAACAUUUAUCUCAAUUUUACAUUAAGAAUAGUGAAUGACAACGUUUAAUCUUAGAAAAUAUUGAAAAUGAAGGAUUUGAAGAUAAAAAGAAGUGAAGAGAAUUUAAAGACAAUAAGAAGAUAGAGGUACUGACUUCUAUGCGUGCUGGGGUUUGUGCUAAAUCUCCUAGCACCAUUUGAAAUCAGUACUACUCUUCUUAGCAAUCUUCAUCAUCAACCAUUGGGAAUCUACUGAGGAAGGAAGGAUACGGAUCUUCAACGGCGAAAUUGUUUUGCACAGAGGAAUUUCAGCUAACAGCCGAUGUGAAUCGUGUAUUCCUCUAUUCAACAGCCAAGCAUCUGCGCGACGUGCAUCACGCCACAUUGUCAAAGCACGUAGUCACCCCAUACGCGCCAGACAAUAGCCCUUCUUGGCUGCCCCCUGCGAGGCCAAGAACAACGGUAGCCAGCCUCUUGCCUAACGAAUUCGCGUGGAACACUAGGAACCAGCAACCAGAAGCUUACCAGGUUGCGGUGUGGUAGGCACAAUCACGCUGGGCCUGCUGUGAUGAUGAUGGACCCGGGCCGCAGACAUGUCUAGGGCUUCACUUUGAAUUGGAUCCCUCCUACGCUCUUUGCGCCACGCGCUACUUGGUUUCCGGUGGAGAUUCGUCGUCUUUGGCCUCUCCUCUAUGCAAUAAAAAAGCUUUUGCAUGAAAUUUUUUUACAUUCUAUUUAAUAUUAAGUUGAUAUUGAAGAUCUUUCUUUCUUAACAUUUUUUUAAUUUCCUUUUUUUAAUUUUUAAAGAUUUUAAUCAUUUUAAGAUAAGCUUGUAAAGUGUGAAUUUUUUUUGUUUUUAAUAUUUGAUUAUUUGAGAUUCUCUUUAUAAAAAAAUAUUUAUUUCAAGAUUUUAAAAUGGAUAUGAAAAUAUGGAUAAGAAUAGUAGAAAAUGAUACUCUUGAAAAAUGAAUAAAUUUGGAAUUGUAUUUUUUAACAUUUUAAAAGAGAACUUAUAAAUAAAUAUAAUAGAUUAUACAUUUUAAAUAA